rnacentral:rRNA from 1 species
AACGCGAAGAACCUUACCUACUCUUGACAUCCAGAGAACUUAGCAGAGAUGCUUUGGUGCCUUCGGGAACUCUGAGACAGGUGCUGCAUGGCUGUCGUCAGCUCGUGUUGUGAAAUGUUGGGUUAAGUCCCGCAACGAGCGCAACCCUUAUCCUUUGUUGCCAGCGGUUAGGCCGGGAACUCAAAGGAGACUGCCAGUGAUAAACUGGAGGAAGGUGGGGAUGACGUCAAGUCAUCAUGGCCCUUACGAGUAGGGCUACACACGUGCUACAAUGGCGCAUACAAAGAGAAGCGACCUCGCGAGAGCAAGCGGACCUCAUAAAGUGCGUCGUAGUCCGGAUUGGAGUCUGCAACUCGACUCCAUGAAGUCGGAAUCGCCAGUAAUCGUGGAUCAGAAUGCCACGGUGAAUACGUUCCCGGGUCUUGUACACACCGA